UACAGAGGUCUCAAGCGUUGUUCGGAAUUACUGGGCGUAAAGCGCACGUAGGCGGAUACUUAAGUUAGGGGUGAAAUCCCAGAGCUCAACCCCGGAACUGUCUUUGAUACUGGUAGUCUCGAGUCCGGAAGAGGUGAGUGGAAUUCCGAGUGUAGAGGUGAAAUUCGUAGAUAUUCGGAGGAACACCAGUGGCGAAGGCGGCUCACUGGUCCGGUACUGACGCUGAGAUGCGAAAGCGUGGGGAGCAAACAGG
rnacentral:rRNA from 1 species